GGCUAUGGUACCACCUCCUUGAAAGGGGCCGAGUCCUUCCUCAGCCUUGCCUUGGAAAAACCAGCUCCUCUCCCUUUCAUUGUCUGUUCCCAGCUCCUGUGCUGCAAGCUCAUCUGAGCCCCCCACACUCCAAACUCUCUCUUUCCGGCUCCCUGAACUCCCCUCUCUGCCAAUCCACUUUCCUCUGCCUUCGUACUCCUCACCAUUAAGGGAGAGGGGCUGUCCGGGACCAGCCCCCACGGCCCCGCAGGACCCACUUCUGUUCUGCACGGGCCUGCUCAGCUGAACUCCCUCUACGGCAAGGGCUUCUCGUUUCUUACUCGCUGUCCUCCAAUCUUAGGAAGGCAGGAGCAGUCCAAGGCUUGGACUUCCUUUCCUUCCUCUCUCACAUGCACGAGUCUCCAGCCACCUCUUUGUUCUGAAUUCUCUCAUGAAAAUUCUUUCGAAACAAGCUCAAAGAAGGCCCUGCCCUCUGACGGUACAGACCCUGAUACCUCCAGACACGGUCGUCGCUGGAGUGUCCGCCCUGGAGGUUAAGGACCCCAGAGGUGGGUGAGGCUCUCUGCACGUGCCCGUUGAGGAUUUGAAGAAUCUGGUGGACUGUACCCAUUGGGAGGGUAAGAGUGGGGUAAGAUAGGUCUGGAGGGAGAGGACUUGCCCCCUACGCUCUCCGAGUUGGGGUUGAAAUCCAGAGAGAAAGCAAAGAAUCCUUCUGACCCAGAUCUAUGUCCUCCCAUCAUCUCCCGGCAUCACUUAUCAGCGCCAAACAGAUUUCAGUGGAGUGAAGCUCAGGAGGCGUGGAGCUGACACCGCAGCAGAAGCAGCGACAAGAAGAGCUCUGUGAUGCAUGCGGUCGCCCGCCGACUCCCGGGCCUUCGACGUCACCGCCCCUUUGGGUUACAACGGAGACCUGAGCUCAACGACUGGCUCGGGUUCCCUCCCUCCAUGGGUCCUCCAGGCAGGUGGCUGGAACUCUAUUCCCAAUCGGCAAGGAACUCUCUGCCCUCACCCCCCCCCCCAGAGGACCCGCAGGACCUGCACAAUGGGGUAAAAAAGGACGAGGAUUUAAAAAAGCAUUUAUAUCGUAAUAAAAUAAGUGUAAAUAUGA